CAGUAGCCGCGGGAAUACCGGGGAUGCAAGCGUUAUCCGGAAUUAUUGGGCGUAAAGGGCUCGCAGACGGUUUCUUAAGUCUGAUGUGAAAGCCCCCGGCUCAACCGGGGAGGGUCAUUGGAAACUGGGAAACUUGAGUGCAGAAGAGGAGAGUGGAAUUCCACGUGUAGCGGUGAAAUGCGUAGAAAUGUGGAGGAACACCAGUGGCGAAGGCGACUCUCUGGUCUGUAACUGACGCUGAGGAGCGAAAGCGUGGGGAGCGAACAGGAUUAGAUACCCGCGUAGUCCCUGUCUCUUAUAC
rnacentral:rRNA from 1 species